UAAGACGAACCGUGCGAACGUUGUUCGGAAUCACUGGGCUUAAAGGGCGCGUAGGCGGCUUGUCAAGUCAGGGGUGAAAUCUUUCGGCUUAACCGGAAAAGUGCCUUUGAUACUGACAGGCUCGAGGGAGGUAGGGGUAUGUGGAACUUCCGGUGGAGCGGUGAAAUGCGUUGAUAUCGGAAGGAACGCCGGUGGCGAAAGCGACGUACUGGACCUCUUCUGACGCUGAGGCGCGAAAGCUAGGGGAGCAAACGGGAUUAGAUACCCCGGUAGUCCUAGCCCUAAACGUUGGGUACUAGGUUGUGGACUAAACAUGGGUUCACAGCCGAAGCAAAAGUGUUAAGUACCCCGCCUGGGGAGUAUGGUCGCAAGGCUG
rnacentral:rRNA from 1 species